CCUCAACUCAUUCUACACCUCUGAAGAUGAGUCCAACCUUUUUCUUCCCAAGUUGCCAACUCUUCCCAAGAGCGAGGAGAAGUCAGACGAGAUCCUGAACCUUAUGGGAGAAGGGAAAAAUCAGGUCAGCUGACAACGACCCGG